UCGAUUUGAGAAAACAAAAAGCGAAAUAAUCUCUUCUUCUGCUUCUGCGAAGACGACGAUGAUCCAUCCAUGUCGAGACGAUGAUAAGCCACUCUCUCUCUCUCUCAGUCCUCCAUCAUCACUCGAUAGAAACCCUAAUCCGCGAGACCCUAAGAUCUAAAAUCUAAAAACCCUAAAAUCUCUCUACGGAUCGGAGCGAAGCAUCUCAGGGUUUCAGCCACCGCCUACUCCGCCCUUCUUCUCUGGUUCGUCCCCCUUCUUCUCCUUCGGUUUCCCCUCUCUCUCUCUCUCGUAGACUCGUAGUCUUCUAGGGUUCCGAGCCAAGGAGAUGGCCUUGUUUUUCAAUCGGGCUCUUAAUUAAGCUCUUAACAGAGGAUCUCUCCGGUGUUCUUUGCUGUGGGAUCUUCUCUCUUCCAAAGCGUGGGUGCGGAUCACACACAGCAGGAGAUGGUUUUUAAGAAUGGACAAGUCUCAUAACCAAAAUUUGUCAUCUUAAUCUGAUUUACGAGUAUCAUCAAGUCAACCUACAGGAGAAGGUGGUCUUAUUUGCGCUUUGCCCAAACAGACAAUAUGAUUGACACGGCAGGAUAAAGAGCCGUUUAGAAUCAGCUGUAGCUACAACACAGAGUCGUCUGAGUGAACUUGGAGCAUCGUCUCCUUCCCCUUUUCUGAAAUCAAACCAGAACAGAUGUUUCCGCACUUUCUGAGGAGUGA